UACGGAGGGCGCAAGCGUUGCUCGGAAUCACUGGGCGUAAAGCGAACGCAGGCGGACCUUUAAGUCGGGUGUGAAAUCCCGGGGCUCAACCCCGGACGUGCAUUCGAAACUGGAGGUCUUGAGUACGGGAGAGGGAAGUGGAAUUCCUGGUGUAGAGGUGAAAUUCGUAGAUAUCAGGAGGAACACCGGUGGCGAAAGCGGCUUCCUGGCCCGAUACUGACGCUCAUGUUCGAAAGCGUGGGGAGCAAACAGG
rnacentral:rRNA from 1 species